AUUGUUACACUUUAAUUCAAAUAUGCGAUCUAUUACUAAUGUUUGCUACAUUCCGUUGACUGAAGAAUAUAAAGACUGUUGCCCUAAUGGGCUUUGAUGUGACAACCGAAAAUCGUCGUACGCUUGCGCCUCCUGAGAUGUUCCAACGGUAGAGUUGAGAACUUAUUGCGGAAACUCAGAGAGUUACCGAUUUUGACGUGAUGCUGGCUGCAUUCACCUUCCGAGUAACACAGUCUUCGCAAUGGUAUAACCCGAGGUGGGAAGCGGUGGUUGUUGGAGGUAGUUGGCGGUGGUAGGAGGUACACGGCGGUGGUCGAGAAUGAAAAGGAGGACAAGGAGGAGGAGGGGGGAGAAGGAUGAGGUGGACAAGAAGGAUGGAGGUAGUCGCAGGUGAUUGGAGGUGGUAAGGUAGUCUGGGAUGUUGGGAUAGUGUA